UACAGAGGGGGCAAGCGUUGUUCGGAAUUACUGGGCGUAAAGGGCGCGUAGGCGGCCCGCUAAGUCGAACGUGAAAUCCCCGGGCUCAACCCGGGAACUGCGUCCGAUACUGGUGGGCUUGAAUCCGGGAGAGGGAUGCGGAAUUCCAGGUGUAGCGGUGAAAUGCGUAGAUAUCUGGAGGAACACCGGUGGCGAAGGCGGCAUCCUGGACCGGUAUUGACGCUGAGGCGCGAAAGCCAGGGGAGCAAACGGGGAU
rnacentral:rRNA from 1 species